CUCGAAUUUAAUAUAUCUAUCGUUAAAUGAACAAGAACUCAGUAGAUUUAUCGGCGUUCAUCGAUAACGUUAUCGUCAUCGAUAGCUCCUGCCACGGCACUUGGCAAGACACAGCGGCUGUUACGCAUCCAAAUGCAAUUAUUUAUCGGCCCGUGAAAAUAGAAUGCUCGCGGUCGUGCUAUAUAUAAUAGGUGCACGUAGCUGACAAAUACGAGCCAGUAACACGAAUUCGAUGUAGCAAUUAAUAAUGACGAACGAGCAUGCCGACCUCUUAGUCAUCGUUCGAGUACCAGCUAAUACCAACCAAGGGUCACCGUGUCGAAGCGACAUAGAACUGCAAUAACCGAGUAAUUAACACCCGAGGAGCCAGACAUCGCAUAAACAUUAAUCACUUCGACGUGGUAUUUAAAAUCUCAUGCGCUAAUAAACUAGAGUAGAAUCUUGUAACUUCUGUAACACGAUAACCUAGCUUCUAAAUAAUGAAAUCAAAAUCAGGAACAAAAUAUUCUGUCCAAUGGAAAAUUGAAUUAAAUUAUGGGAGUAAAUGUUGGAUACAAUAUUUCUUGGGAAUCGAUUAACAUCGAGGAAAUGAAUUUUCAAGACCUUUACGACCUUGCAUCUUCGAAACGAUUUAUAACUUGACCGAUAAUGUAAUUUUACCAAAAUUCGUCUUAAGGUCAGUAAGGUCGGAUGAAGUUAAAAGAUAUUUAGAAAUUGAUCACCUUUGAGAAAAUAAAAUUCAUAAGAAUAUUUAAGAUCUCCUAUGUUUGGAAUUAUUUAUAAAUUGGUCUAUUACGUAAUUUUAUCAAAAGAUGUCUUAAAACCAAUAUAACCAAUUUCCUAUAUUGUUACGGUCGAUCUUAUCGAUCUAUGCAUUUAGAUGUAGCCAGUUGUAAGUUUAAAGAAAUCUUCUCUCGAUUUCGCAAUGUCCAAAGAAAUGUAACGAUGCUAAUAAGAUAGAAGUUGUGCACGUAGAAGUUUAAGCAAGAAGUUUCUUGCAUGUCGCAUCCUCGUGUCGUCGGUCAACACGGAAGUGAACCGAACCCUUGAAUGUGCAAACAUUGAGAAAAAGAGAGAAAGAGAGAGACGUGAUGUACGCUAUAAAACACAGAGAAUUCUUGCUGGAGACGAGGUACGUGGUGCAUCUCUAUGUAUACGUCGAUUAGCCACGGCAAUAAAGCAUUUUCAUGACGCGACACGCUGUAAAAUUUAUCAGGCGGGAUCUUAGUCGUAAUAACGUCUCUUUGGCACGCCAAUUAACCAGUGCAAUAAAUUGCUUUUUCCCUGUUCCUGCUGGCGAAUGCGCACUUUAAAUUGCGAGGGAGCUUCGUGGAUGACCUACAUUUUUCGAAUAAAUUGGAAAAUCCAUGCUGCACAAAGAAUUCAAACGUUUCAUCCGACUUUUGAUGGAAUUUGAAUUAUUUAAUUAUGCUGCUUGUUAAACUGAUAUUCGACUAGAUAUCGUUAUUGGAUUAAUAAGAGAGACGUUUGAAAAACAUUUCUUCAAGCAGUUGGGAAGAAUACGAAACUAUUCAUAGCAGAAUAAAAAAUUUGUUUUAGAAUUUAUAAAAGUCAUAGAAAUAUCUAGUUGGCUAAAUAUUCUGUAUACGAUGACUAAUAUACAAUUUCUCGCUAGUCAUUCUAUUUUAUUUUCAAACCACCGCGUUGAUAGUACAGUCUGGAAUAAUAAACAUUUGCUAAAAAUACGUUUCGAGUUAUUGCCCCGUUUCUUCGUUAAUGUCUAUUUUCAGAUGAAAUAUUUUGGACAUUUUUAAUCAGGAUCGAAUAUAUUGGUAUAAUAUUGGAAAAAUGUCAUUUUCAAACGGCGCUAUUUACAUCUCAAAGAUAUCAACACUCCAUGAUGUCAGAUAUCGAGAUUUCUAACUUCUGAAUAAUUUAAUGAAAUUAGAGAAACGAAUUGAAAAAGAAAGAAUGAUCUCUUGUACUUCCAUUCAGAAUCGAAUUUUCCAUGACAUGCAUUCCGAGAUAUCAGAAACGCGCGAUGUCACGACGAGAAGGAUUUUAUGCCGUGAGAUUAAUUAACAGACAGCAAGACCGAGAUCUAUUCCGGUCGAGGUCGACUAUGUUUAGAGAAUUCGAGAAUGUUUACCUAAUAUAGAGCUAAGUAAUCGUCGUGCUAUCGAUUGCACGAAUUUUGGCCAGACUUUCUGUAAGCUCAGGCUCUUUAUUCCCUCGUAAUUGCGGCGCGAUUUACUUGGCAAUCGACUUGCUUGGCCACUGCUCAGGCUUUUAGGCGACCACAGUCGAUGCAACGCACCCCUCGAACGACUCCGCGAAAAAUAAAUCGAUAACAUCCUCCAAUAUCAAUCACAUUUAAAAAACUGAAUUGUAAAACGAGUGAAAACUGUUAUACCUCUCCUAAACUUUAUAACAAGCAAAACUAUAAGAAAUUCCAAUAAGAAGUUUCCGAUAGCACUGUCCCUCGCAUCAGCCAUAUUUACACGCAAAAGAAUUGCUGAUUGAUCUUAAAAAAGAUUAAAAAGCUAUCAUAGCGUUAUAAUGUAAAUCUUCAUCUCCAUUUGUCAAUAUUAUAAAGAACUUUUAAUAUAUAAUUAAAAUCGUUCUCAAGAAUGCCCCGAUUUCAAACAUCCACUGCAUCAGCACGUUUUUCCCAAAACCAAGAAAUAAGGCAACAUAGAACGUGAAAGAAAUUGCGCGAUAACGAUCGUUUUCUCAUAACGCAGCGUUCGAAAAGAAAAAAGAAAAAAAAAGGGGGCACUUAUCGAGGUUGGAUAAUGUUUCCAAGUAACGCGGAAUGUCACGUUGGAAAACGUCUUUCCUUGUUAUCGUUGAGCGACAAAUUUUUAUCAAGCACGGCGCGAUAACGUGCAACACUUUGCCAAAGAAACUCGCUCGACACCGUAGUCUCUUCUGUAAAAACCGAUCGCAAAAUCGCUGCUCGCUUCGUUAAUUAACGAUCGUCAGAUGCUGCGUGGCCGCGGUUUCAAGAGACUCGAGCACGCUCGUAAGCCGACCUUUGCUGCGUUCGCAAAAAUCCUGGCAGGAAUUACGCUCGACCAUAUAUCAGCGUGUCCAACGUGGAAAAUAAUUACGUGGCAUGCAGCCACGUUGAACCGCGGUUGCUUCGUUCGAGGGUUACGCUUCGUGUUCGACGUUGAAUGAUCGAUACGAUCGGUUAUCGCGACGUUACACACACGAUGCUUGAGAAUUUCUGACGAGAGAGAUGAGAAACAGGAUCAUUUCACGAGCGUUCCAGGAUCUUCGACUUGUGAAAGUGUUCACUGACAGCCUAUGGUUCAUAUUUAAGUUUUUUACUAAGCUGCCUUAAAAAAAGUCUAAUAAAGAGUGCAAGUAUUUCCAUUUCAUAGGUAACGAACAUUGUUAAUUAAAAUUUAUGACGAAGGAAAGUAACCAAGAAAAUGUUUCGUCAUCGAUAACUGUUAUUGAUAAUUAAUGAAAUGUUUCUUCAUAGAUAACAGCUAUCGGUGGUAACAUAAGAUAAUUUCUAUCACCGAUAUUGAUCACCAGUAACAAAAAAAAUAUACAGGGUGGUUGGUAACUGGUGGUACAAGCGGAAAGGGGGUGAUUCUACGCGAAACAAGAAGUCGAAAAUAUAGAAUGAAAAUUUUUUUUUUCUUUUUUUAAUUUUUCCAUCGAAACAAUGAUCUACAAUGAGAUCCGUUAUAACGAGACGUGAUAAAGUGCACGCGUACCGAGCGAAAAUUCAAAGCCGAUUUUCUCGAAAACAAAGCCUCAAACUAAAAAUUUUUAUUCUAUAUUUUCGACUUCUUUUUUCGCGUAGAAUCACCUCCUCUCCGCUUGUACCACCAGUUACGAACCACCCUGUAUAUAUAUUUCAGCGGUUAUAAUGAUUGUUUGCAAACAGGAUUAUCGAAACUGAAAUAUGAAUUCUCGUACAAUGACAAUGGGAAAUUUGGAUUACAAGGUAAUUUUCUAUUACUCGAUAAGAUAGUAGGAAAAAAUACAACUUGUUAGAUUCAAAGAUAUAAAUAGACGAUAAAUCUAUAAAAUUCCAUAAACAAUCAAGGAUAUACUUAAUAUUACAACAAUCGGUAUUUUUGAAAUACUCAAUUCGACGGGAAAAUUCGUAUUUAAUCCCACGAUCAAACAAAAGAACAUUUAACGUGAAACUGAUUAUCGAAUUUUUAAAUUCAUCAGCAUUGUUAUUACGUUCUCUCGUUCUAUGAUCUUCAAUUCUAAUUGUGUUUACUACCAUCAUUAUCUUAAUAAGUAUCAAAUCGAUACCUUUACAUGUAUCCACAUACAAUUACAUAGAUUUUACAUACACGUGGCUUUGGAAUGUCUGAAGAGAAAAACAAGAGGAUUGUUUCAUGAGAGAUUCAAGACCUUCGACCAACGGAAGCGUGUUCGCUUAUAGUCGAAGGUUCAACGAUCGUCUAUCGAUCGAAGAUCCUUGGCUUGGCGUGUUUGUUCUGCUUUGUUUGCCGGACGAGAACGCGGAAUGCUUGAGACACGAGAGGUCUUCGCGUUGGCCCGUCGACGACAUACGUUGGCCCGAGUUCGAUAGAGUUCAUCCAAGCUGGCGUUUUAUGUGCUCGACGUUGAUAUCGAGUCCCAUGAUCUAGGUCAGCGGGUCGGGAAUCGAUAGAUGGGACAGAGAUGAGAACGACGCCUAAAUUAGAGCUCGAGGGAGUCGAUAGGGUGGACUAUCGUUCCUUUGGACUUUUACAACUCCUUGUGAAUUGGAAGCUACCUGUGUCUCUAUAUUUUUAGAGCUUUGUUUCUGUAGGCUUAUCAUUGUGCCAUUGUAUCGCCUACCGGAUGGUUCAUUCAUGUUAUAGUAAUUAUUGGUUCUUCUUUUGUUAUAUCGAUAAUGAGAAUUUUUGUUUGUAAUUUUUGCAAUCCGCGAAUUUUUACGUUCCAAUUUCACUUUAAUUUCAAGAAGAAUUUCAAGUAAGAACUUCUAAUUGUUCAAAAUAUAAUACCAGUGCGAUACUGAAAUGAGAAAUUAUGACUAUCGAUAAUUAAUCUAUCGUAUUUUUGUCAAACUUGAACAAUAUAUUAAGAAUAGAAAAACAAGAUUGCGCGUGGAUCGAGAAAGGAACGCAUCAAAAGUAAUCUGUAAUUUUUACUCUGAUUUGGUUUUUGGUAUGGUAUGUACUUUGUGUUACACAGAGUUAAGCGUAAUUUGAGUUAAAGUAUAAUGAAUCUUGACUUCAGACUUUUCAUAGAAUUGCUAUUGAAACUGAACUUUAUUCCACUAGGGACGGUAUUUCCUACAUAAUUGAUGCACCUACAUACGCCUUUUCGUAUGCAAAUGCACUGAUGCAAUACGCACGUCAUCCACGUGUAAUUAUUCGCAAUAAAUUAUCAAUUGCACAACGCGUGUCUGCAGAAUACAAUUUGGCACACGUAUUUGUACUUUAGAUGUUAGCGAAAAACAGUUGCUGCAGUUACUCAAUGAUCUCAGAUGUUCUAAAGCGGAACUAUCAGCGUGACCUAAGUGUAAUAGUUUCGUGCAAGACAGUCGGGAAAAAUUGUUUACACGCGUAUUUCGUGAAUUUUAGAGAAGAUAAGGUUCGUGAGUAAGAUUCGAAAUUUACUAUACGUUGCGUAGCACCGUGUAGUGACAGGAGAUUAGCUUGAAAAAUUGCACAGUGCUUACGAAACAACAGAAAGAUUUGUAGUCGCUAAGGUUUUGAAAUAUUUCUGUUAUAUCAAACUUUUGACGUAGUUUUAACGAGAUUUUGCGGAACAAAAAAGCUAUUGAAGUUUUAUGAAGAUAAAAAUUAUUCGAAAGAAAGAGAUUAGAAAAGGAAAUAAAUAUAAAGGAUAGAAUUACUGAAAAGAGAAAGGAAUAAAGAAAUUUUUAUUCAAAUGAUUGGAGCUUCGGGAAUCAAUUUUUUCCCUACAUUUUCAUAUCUAAAAAUUAUAUUCUCUCCAAAUAGCAAUCUACAGAAUAUAAAUAAAAAUUCAGGGGUUCCAUAGCGAGGUUCAAAGUUAAUCUGUAUGAAGCUCGAUGGAAAUCGUGCAGUUUUAAAUAUUACUGGCAGUCUGCGUGAUAACGCCCAACGAGCAGAGAGGAGACAAGUUGCGACAGAUGUCAAUUUCCACGAUGGCGGAAUAUUUCGUGUCCGUGGGAGGCUCGAGAAGAAAUGGGUCGACGAAGUCCGUGGAAGCUGUCGAAUCUCAGGUACGCUCGAAAUCGAUCGUUAAAAGCGAGCUCAGACGAUUUUUGCCAACAAUACGAGCGGCCUAUAAAACCACAGCAGAUACCUCUCUCCCCCGCGUUUGGCUUCGUUAUAUUGGAUUCUGCGAAUCAAUAAACCUCGCUUGCGUCACGACCAUGCUGAUCCUAAUGCAACGAGCUUGCAACGCGUGUUUCAACGCUUCUGCACAGAACAGAGGAAUCUUCGAUUCGUUUGUUGAUCGCACACGCUGUAACGAAUGCUUUGCCUUCAUUCGUUUUUCACAUAGAAUACUCGUGGUUUAUUAUUUCAGGUAUUAAUAAUGGACAUUGUAAUUCUUCCAUCAUUGUACUUUUUUCUAUCAAAUUUGAGUAUUGCAUUAAACAAAAUAUUUUUAAGUA